AAUCUUUGGAGUUUACCUGUUUUAACAUCCUAAUUACCCUAAAUCUGUGGAAGAUUGGUUGUGGAGCUGGACAUUGCAGCAGUUUAAUAUUAAACCCUGCUGUAUUUUGAAGAGGACAUCUGUGACUAAACGGGAAAUGGUGUCGUUUGUUUUAUUUCAUAACACUGAUGGAUUAAUCGUUGAGGAUGUGAGAAGAUAGGUUUUCUUUAUCUCAGAUGAGUCAUCGUCAUCAAGAUGCACCUUGUUACGGCAGUUGCAGAGUGAGUGGCAAUAAACGGCGCAUUGUUGAAGUGUAUCUUCGUGUGUUAUUUGCUUUACAUACAAACAAUGGCCUUAUUUACAUUAAGUGUUAUUUACAUUAAGCAACAGUAUCAGAUUAUACAUUUCUUUCCUUCCGAUAUCUGAUCCAGUGAUUUGGGCCAAUAUCGGAUUGAUGCAGAGUAUCGGAUUGGUGCCAGCCCUGUUAUUGACCAAUCUAAACCCCAAAAUUGCAAAUAAAUGACACUUAAAUAAA